GUGUCCAGGUUGUGAGUUUGCCCCUGCCCCUGGGGUGUAGACAGCAGGUAAGAAACCUGGAACGUGGCAGCCCUAUGUACCCCCAUGCUCAACAUGGCAAAAGCAAUUUUGUCCAAGGAGAAGAUGUUUCACAGGACAGGAGGAAACGUCUUUAAGAAGCGCCUUCUGAAUAUCAAGCCAGACAGACAUAAAGGUGUAGAUCUUUUGAAAACAUUUGGACACCCAACUGCUCUAUGUUUCAAGCUCUGGAAGUCACAGGUCUGCUGAAGUAGCAGUUACUGGCCACCCAUUGUGCUGACAAAUGAUUUGUAGAUUUGUGCUGCAAGGCAGAUCAGGGUUAAAAAAUAAACACUCGUUUUCAGACCGCUGCU